rnacentral:rRNA from 1 species
CCCUUAGAUGUUCUGGGCUGCACGCGCGCUACACUGAUGCGCUCAACGAGUUUUAACCUUGCCUGGAAAGGUUGGGUAAUCUUUUUAAAACGCAUCGUGAUGGGGAUAGAUUAUUGCAAUUAUUAAUCUUCAACGAGGAAUUCCUAGUAAGCGCGAGUCAUCAGCUCGUGCUGAUUACGUCCCUGCCCUUUGUACACACCGCCCGUCACUCCUACCGAUUGAGUGAUCCGGUGAAUAAUUCGGACUGCGGCAUUGACCGGUUCCCGAUCGUUGCUGCGGAAAGUUUAGUGAACCUUAUCACUUAGAGGAAGGAGAAGUCGUAAC